rnacentral:rRNA from 1 species
AGAGUUUGAUCCUGGCUCAGAGCGAACGCUGGCGGCAGGCUUAACACAUGCAAGUCGAGCGCCCCGCAAGGGGAGCGGCAGACGGGAGAGUAACACGUGGGAACAUACCUUUUGGUUCGGAACAACUGAGGGAAACUUCAGCUAAUACCGGAUAAGCCCUUACGGGGAAAGAUUUAUCGCCGAAAGAUUGGCCCGCGUCUGAUUAGCUAGUUGGUGAGGUAAUGGCUCACCAAGGCUCCGAUCCUUAGCUGUUCUGAGAGGAAGAUCAGCCACACUGGGACUGAGACACGGCCCAGACUCCUACGGGAGGCAGCAGUUGGGAAUCUUGGACAAUGGGGGAAACCCUGNAUCCAGCCAUGCCGCGUGAGUGAUGAAGGCCUUCGGGUUGUAAAACUCUUUCGACGGGGACGAUAAUGACGGUACCCGUAGAAGAAGCUCCGGCUAACUUCGUGCCAGCAGCCGCGGUAAUACGAAGGGGGCUAGCGUUGUUCGGAAUUACUGGGCGUAAAGCGCGCGCAGGCGGUCUUCCAAGUCAGUGGUGAAAGCCCGGAGCUCAACUCCGGAACUGCCAUUGAAACUGUUAGACUUGAGGACGAGAGAGGUGAGUGGAAUUCCCAGUGUAGAGGUGAAAUUCGUAGAUAUUGGGAAGAACACCGGUGGCGAAGGCGGCUCACUGGCUCGU